rnacentral:misc_RNA from 1 species
CAAGAAUGUCUUUUGAAAGGAACCCAUAAAAGACCAGAAUAACUAUUUCAUCUCCUAUCCAUAUCUCUUCACUAAAGCAAAUAUGAUAUCCAUCCCCAACUUUAUAGUGAUCCAUGGGAAAAAUCAGCAAGAUGCCUGUCAUAUGAACUUCCAGCAACUUUCAAAAGUAAAAUUUGUUCUCAUCCUAGCAUCCCACUAAUUUUAUUGCAGGCUAUAUUCACUCUGAAUUCCCUUAUGUCACAGAGAAUAAGGUUUUAAAGGAAAAUG